rnacentral:ncRNA from 1 species
GAUUGCAACUUUCUUCAACCUCUCUUGCAAUCGCGGCUG